GGCUUUGAUCAAGCUGCCGAUAGUCUAACGUUGGCAAUCUCCUGGUAAUAAUUGGACUUCUGCAUGGCAUCGAGAAAGACACAAUCCAAUUGCGUUAGUUGGAAUACGGGUCUUAUCGGUAAUCCUAGUGGCAAAACAAAACGAAAUAAACUAGGGUUGUCGGUCAUUGAGACAAAUUAGAGUCGUCAACAAUGCAUCAUGGUAAGAAAAUCUGAAUGUAGAGGACUUUGUUGCCAAUAUGGGAAGACACUUUCGAAUGGGAUUACUGCUCUCAAUAUCGUCAGUCCAGUCGCGACUUAAUAGUGCAGCUAGAAUGAGCUUUACCGAAUUCACAUAACAAAUUUUCCAGGGUUAUGACUUGUUGCAUUUGCUUCAGAAAUACAAUUGUCGCUUUCAAAUGGGAGGCAGUGAACAAAUGGGUAACUUAAUGACUGGCCACGAACUAUCAGCAGAGUGGAAAAAAAGAAAUCAGUAUUUGGAUUGGCACUUCCAAUAGUGAUCAACGAAGGAGAAGACAAGUUUGGAAAAUCUGCUGGCAAUGGUAUUUGGCUGGACGAAGAAAAAAGUCGCCAUUUGUUCUUUAUCAGUUCUUUUUGAAAAUGCCAGAUUCUGAAGUCGAGAAGCUUCUCAAGUUGUUCACUUUUAUCCCACAAAGAAGAAAUUGCAUUUCUCAUUGAAGAACACAAAAAAUUACCAGAGAAGAGAAAAUCACAAAGAAGAUGUGACGCUUCAAGUCUAUGGAGAGGUAUGUCUAAAACAAGACGAAAAAGUCACAGCGGCGCUCUAUAAGGGAAAUGUUGAAGGACUAGGUGAACUGAAUUACAACGAAAUCCGAUCGUUGAGAUUUUUUCAGAGCCUGGACUAUCCAUUCUUGAUCUGGCACUAAAAGCUAAAUGUUUUACAACUGAGACUGAUGCAAACAGAAUCAUCACAACUGGAGGGUUCUAUAUCAAUCAAAAGUAAAUGUAGUUUAUGUGUUCCGUUCCCAUUUUCAUAUGUUUUGUAUUUUAUUUAUUUAUUACAUCAAUUAGAGUUAAGAGUAUACUCAAAUAGACUAAUGAAUAUGACAAGUUUUAUUUAAAAUAUUAUAUUAUAAACUAAGAAUGUAAAGUUAAAAAAAAUAAACUAAGCAUACAUAUA